UGUGAUCUCCACACAGUGGGGCGAUUGCAACAAGCAGGAGUGGAGAGGUGGAGAAGAAAGGCCUUGAGGUCGUGCUACAAGAACAGCCUGACAAAAGCCACCAAAAAACGCUGCACGUUCUGUGGCUUUCCCUUGCAUCUCCACUGGAAUCUACGGAUAUCCACCUGAGCAGGCUGUGCACGAGGCGUUAGCAACUGUGAGGGAGUAUCUGGAUGAACAUCAUGACAAGCUGGACAGAGUCAUCUUCUGUGUGUUUUUGCCGACGGAUAAGGAGCUGUAUCUGCAGAAUCUCCCGCUCUACUUCCCUGCUGCCUGACCAAUGACAGCAGCUUAUGGUUCAGAGACCGCUGUCAAGAGUAAACUCUGAGAGAGUGGAUUUGGUUGCUGUGGAUACGCACCGCUACGCUCAACAUUUCAGAAGAUUCCUCCUCCUCAUCCUCGCUGCCAUCACAGAUCAAGACCCUUCUUCAGCAGGAAGAUAACUCCUAAAUGGAUGAUUGCUUUUUUGAAGUGCACACUCGCUCUUGUGCAGAUGUUGAUUAGUUUCUCUGUUUUUGCCACUAAUGGUUGAGGUUAAGAGGGGUGCUGUGAUAAAGGUGUGAAAUUAUAUUGAUAAUUCUUGUGAAAAAUAGACUGUGUGUACCUUAAGCUGCACUCUAACUUGACCUUUAUUGUCUGUGAUCAGUGGUAGCUUUGCAUCAAGCUUACAGCCCCAUAUGAGUUAUGUGUCCUGUGCUCUUUGAAUACUGGGAUUCCAGUAUGUGUGCAUGUGAGACAAUGACAAAAGCUUAUUAAAACAAAUCACACAGGC